ACCAGGCACCACUCAGGAAACUUCUCUUUCCGUUCUCUAACUUCCCCAAGACGCUGUCAGGCAUGGAACUCUCUGUAUCCUCUGUGGACACCCACCUACCUGUGGCAGGGCCUAGGAACACACAGGACUCGGCUCUCUCAAGAGAUUCCAAGUGGACCGAGGACAGCAAUUUUCAACUCCCUGGGGGAUGAUAUCGUCCUUACUGAUGACAUCAGUGAUACAGAAAAGACUCUGGAAGAAGAUCGUGAUAAAGAAUUACUUGAAAACUGAUCUAACCAAUUCAAAGUCCUACUCAGGAACUUUAAGAGACUACAAAGACUGAACAAAAUGAUUUUAAGGAUUACUAUAGUGGUUCGAAUAGAUACAAGCUCUCUGAUUACUGAUGCUCCCCAACAUGAUGGUCAGGAAUUCACCCUCUGAAACUGAUCCAGAGUCACCAGAAGACAAACCCGAGUAUGCCUGAUUCUAGACUGGAUUCAGGAAGUGAGAAGAUCCACCCUGAAUAUGGGCUGCAUCACAUCAUGGGCUCAGGUCACAAGCUGAAUAAAGGAGGAAGAGAAAGUGAGCUAAGCACCCCCACUCAUUUCUCUCUCUGGGGACUGGAUGGGAGGUGACCAAACAGCCUCCUGUUCCCGCUGUCAUCUUCCCAUGAUGGACUACAGGCUCCAAAGUCAGCCAAAAUAAACUUUCCCUCCUUUAUGAUACGUCUAUCAGGUAUGUUGUCAUAGCGAUGAAAAAAGAACUAAUAUAGAACUGACAGCAGAAGUGGGACAGUUGUGGUGAUACACCUGACUAUGUGAUUGUUAGGCCUCUGAGACUCAGUCAUAGAAGAAUGUCAAAGAACUUAGAACUCUGGGACUUAAAAAGCAUAUGAAUGUUGUAAGAAGAGUUUAACAUGCCACUCUGGUAGGAAUUUGGAAAUCAGAUUGCCAAGAAAAACAUCAGCAAUGGCGGUCUUGCUUAUGGGGUUUCAAAGGGGAACAAGGCUCCACUGGGAACUAGGCUAAAAGCCAUUCAUGUUAUAUUCUGACAAAGAAUCUGGCUGCCACUGCCUAUGUUCUAACAACUUCAGUGAGGCUGAAUUCAAUGGCUGGCUGAUAUCAAGCCAGACAGCAUCUGGGCUGUGUCUUGAUUACUGCACACUACUUUUACCCAGGUCUACAGUGAGAACAAAUGGAGCAAAAUAGAAAAAAAAAAAACAAAACAAAAACAAAAACAAAAAACCAAAAAAAACCAU